GCAGAGUAAGAUUUCAAGCGUAAAGUGUCCGAGGAACGGGGAGUUGUCUUCGGAACGAAAAGCCUUCCGGCUUGCGGUUUGAGAUCUGCAUCCCGCUGC
rnacentral:ncRNA from 1 species